rnacentral:rRNA from 1 species
CGUAGGGCGCAAGCGUUAUCCGGAAUUAUUGGGCGUAAAGAGCUCGUAGGCGGUUUGUCGCGUCUGCCGUGAAAGUCCGGGGGCUCAACUCCGGAUCUGCGGUGGGUACGGGCAGACUAGAGUGAUGUAGGGGAGACUGGAAUUCCUGGUGUAGCGGUGAAAUAGCGCAGAUAUCAGGAGGAACAACCGAUGGCGAAGGCAGGUCUCUGGGCAUUAACUGACGCUGAGGAGCGAAAGCAUGGGGAGGCGAACAGGAUU